rnacentral:rRNA from 1 species
AAUUUGAAAUCUGGCCCCUCCGGGGUCCGAGUUGUAAUUUGCAGAGAGCGCUUCGGGCGAGGUCGCGGUCUAAGUCCAUUGGAACAUGGCGUCAUAGAGGGUGAGAAUCCCGUAUGCGACCGUGGGCCGAGCCCGUGUGAAGCCUCUUCGACGAGUCGAGUUGUUUGGGAAUGCAGCUCCAAAUGGGUGGUAUAUUUCAUCUAAAGCUAAAUAUUGGCUGGAGACCGAUAGCGCACAAGUAGAGUGAUCGAAAGAUGAAAAGCACUUUGGAAAGAGAGUCAAACAGUACGUGAAAUUGUUGAAAGGGAAGCGCUUGCAACCAGACCUGCCCGGGGGCGAUCAGCCGCUGUUCUCAGCGGUGCACUCGUUCCCCGACCAGGCCAGCAUCGGUUCCGGCGGUCG